rnacentral:rRNA from 1 species
GACGAACGCUGGCGGUGUGCUUAACAUAUGCAAGUCGAACGGAAAGGCCCUGCUUUUGUGGGGUGCUCGAGUGGCGAACGGGUGAGUAACACGUGAGUAACCUGCCCUUGACUUUGGGAUAACUUCAGGAAACUGAGGCUAAUACCGGAUAGGAGCUCCUGCUGCAUGGUGGGGGUUGGAAAGUUUCGGCGGUUGGGGAUGGACUCGCGGCUUAUCAGCUUGUUGGUGGGGUAGUGGCUUACCAAGGCUUUGACGGGUAGCCGGCCUGAGAGGGUGACCGGCCACAUUGGGACUGAGAUACGGCCCAGACUCCUACGGGAGGCAGCAGUGGGGAAUAUUGCACAAUGGGCGGAAGCCUGAUGCAGCAACGCCGCGUGCGGGAUGACGGCCUUCGGGUUGUAAACCGCUUUCGCCUGUGACGAAGCGUGAGUGACGGUAAUGGGUAAAGAAGCACCGGCUAACUACGUG